rnacentral:tRNA from 1 species
GAGGGUAUAGCAUAGCGGUAGAGUGUGUGCUUAGCAUGCAUGAGGUCUUGGGUUCAAUCCUCAGUACCUCCU